GUACAGGCCCUGUUAAGUAAUUUUGCAUUAAGUUCCUGAAAAAAACGUCAGAUCAGAUCAGAUGUAAACGAAAAAGGAUGGCUCUCAGUAGGUAUUAUAUUUAAAGAAAUUUUGAGCUUGAUGCGGGAGGCUACUACAAAGCAAUCCGCUGCUAUGAUAAUAUGAUAUGCUGUGGAACUGCGGAAAAUGACAAAGUCCACCGAUAAAUUGCGACUAAACAAUCUUCAUAUACACUUGGGAUACUUUGGCUCACUGACGAUUUCAAGAAAGUUGAGAAUUCAUACAAAUUGGUCAAGUGCGUGAGGUUCCUCAGCUCUUCUGGUAUAGGACCUACCAGAUUCAAUGCGUACAUUUUCCUGCAGUAAUAACAGUGAAGCACCCAUCAGCUCACACCAUCUCAAUUUAGCCUUCAUGGAUGUUCGUCAUCAGACAAACACCACUAGGUUAUGGAGCGCCGUCAAAUAACCGCACAAGCAAUAGUUGCAGAGAUAAGGACGAUGCACUAGCUUGCCACACUCUGAGUGCACGAACUGCCACCUCAGGUGGGCAAAUUAGAUCAUCCAGCAACUAAUGGUGGGCGUACGGAUAGGAAGCGUGAGACACUUACAGCUUGGUGAUGUGGCAGACGGUGUUGUUCUGGCCGGAGCACUUGCACUGGAUGGCCGGGUUGAAGUUCAUGUCUGAGUCGAUGUUGGUGUCGUCCGUGGCGGCGCCGGUGCAGGGGUCGCCGCUGAUGUUCCAUGCCGAAGACGCCGUCUGGCCGAGCUUGUCGAACACCGCAUUCACCGCCGCCGCUGCAAAACCGAAAACGGGUUCAUACUUCACACACAUCCCAAAGAAGCAAUCACCGACUAACCUUUACCGACCACAGAGAAUAUAUAAAAUAACAGAUCACCCUCAGGCACUCAACGCGAACUCUAGGCAAAAGUGGUGAAUCUAGUAGUGUACAGUGAUAGCUAGUCUUAUAAUACAUUAAAAGCAUUAUAAGUACCCUAAAAGCUUGGUGACAUAGUAACUUUUUUUUUUCUUUUUUAAUAAAAAAUAUAUAUCUAGUAGGAGUCUUAGCCCCACCUGUUCCUUAAAAAAAAAUACCAAGACUCUAGCUGUCCUACCUCGGGGCUUUCUUAUUUUUUAAAAAAAUAAAGGCAACGGGUAAUAAUACGUUUGGUUCCACGGACUAAAGUUUAGUCCCUAUCACAUCAAAUGUUUAGAUACUAAUUAGGAGUUAAGCUAAUUAUAAAACUAAUUGCACAGAUGAAGGCUAAUUCGCGAGACGAAUGUAUUAAGCCUAUGUCAAAUCAUGGACUAAUUAGGCUUAAUAGAUUCGUCUCGCGAAUUAGCCUCCAUUUGUGCAAUUGGUUUUGUAAUUACUCCUAAUUAGUAUCUAAACAUUCAAUAUGACAGGAACUAAACUUUAGUUUGUGACAAUGAAUACGACAACUAGCAAGUAACUACCACGACAAGCAGCCAUAAGGUGGUUGAAGCUGCACAACAAGUCAACAACUAGCUCUCUAAAGAAGGUUGAUUUUUAGGGCAGUCCCAAACCAUAGUUUCUAUGGGUAGUUUCUAUGUUGACCUAUCACCAAGAUGCCACUUGUAGAUCUAAUCUCCCCAACCCAUAGUUUCUAUGGGUAGUUUCUAUGUAGAGCAAAAUUUCAUGAUUUCACGCAAGCACCACAAGCAAAGCUCGGUCAGCUGUCGCAAGCAACCGCGUAGCCUUCAUGCUGCCACAGUCCGAGCCAUUGAAACAAAAUAAUUCUUUCACAGCUGCUAUAAGAUCGAUCGACCUGGAAAGCGCCGCCAAGAGACGAUGCAGGCCAAAAUGCAGGAGCGAGAUGAGUGCUGGUUCGAUCAGUGCCUGGACAAAGUGCCAAAGUGGCGCUUGAAGCAACGGACGGAGAACUGGCGCCUGCAGAAGCAACUGCGGUAGCACCAACAACACGUCUGGAACUUGAAGAGGGCUUCCUCGAUUUCUUUUGAUGUACGCCUUUCUUCUCCAAUCGAUCCUUAGAAGCGGCGCGUGUGGAAUUGCUGGCGGAGGCUUGGUGCGCGGCCGCGCACGGGGGUGGCCAGCGGCGUGAGGCGGACACAGGCGCCGGAAAUUGGCACGCGCGAGCGAGGGAGGGGAUGGCCGCGGCGCGCGCGUGAGGGAGGGUCGCGACGCGGCAGUAGCAGGCGCGCACGGAGCCUGGGGUUGGGUCGCGGCGCACAGCGGAUCGGGAAGAUGGGCAAGAAAACGAGGAAGGAAACGAUAACGCUGGCACAACGCGAUUACGGCGGUAUCUACGCACUUUGGUGCGCGAGCCGACUCGGUUUCUCACAUGAGAAAAACGAUUUCUUGCCCUUUCUUCGUUAAAUCACCUGCCACAUCGUUAGAUCGCUGAUAUGGUACUGUAUUGAAUGAUAUAGAAAUUGGAGGGUUGGGAGUGCCCUUAAUAUUUUCUCGCUUGGAUCCCAAUUUCACCUCGUGGGCUUGCUCUGUUCGAUGUUUCCUCACGUGGGACUAGCGUUGAACCACAAGAGUUUCUGACUUAUUCGUGGGCAAAACAUGGAUGAGGUCAAAAGGCGAAAAACCAUAAUAUCAUACCAUUAAACGCGCCCCUGUUGCCCUUCUACCCGAAACAUUUGGAACGAGAUAGUUUCUUGGACGAAUCGGGCAGAUGAUUCUCUGGAACAGAUCAGGGAUUGUACAGAUCAGGGAGAUGAAAUUCCAACAGCAAAGGUGGCCAUGAUGCCGGUAAGAAUUCGACUCGAUCGAGCUGAUUUUUCAAGAACUUACUUGCAGGGGAUAUUAUCUUAAGAACGUGAGGACAUUGCUGACAGCUAGCAACCUCAAACUGAGAGGCGCCUCCCAGGAAAAGAAACAAAGCAAAAGGCAAGAACAAACUUAAUUACAAAUAUACAAUCGAGCUCAUCAGAUAGAACACCUCGAAAAUUAUCUUUUUAUCGCAGGAGCGCUGAAUAGGACUUACCUUCAGUUGGAUCUGUCCUUGUUGGUGGUGCUUGCUGAGCUUUGGCCGACGCAGCUAGGAGAAGCAGCGCGGAGAGCACGUAGCCACGGAGGGAAGAACUCCGUGUUAACCUCAUCUCCCUCUUCCUAACUGCUCUCGCUUAGCUUGGCCGUGGCCCUUCCGAGGAAAGCAAUCUUGUUCCGUGUCCAAAAAAUCUGCUGAUUUCAUCAUCAUAGAAGGAAAGCAAAGCAAAUAAAGCAGCAGUCAAAGGCACACGACUGAUUGGGGAUACGCGGUCGUUUGGCAACAUUAGUACUGAAGACGACUGCAUGACUGACUGACGUUCUCAAGCUUUGGAUUCAUCCACUCGAACCAUUCAAGACUGUCAUGGUCUAGAUAAUUAAGGCGAUUUCCCAGGAUGGGAUGUUUGCUAUGGACAGAAGCUGGAACAAUUCAACGAAGUAAUAAUAAAGGCCAACCACUUCCGAUACUGACACAUAUACAUCUCAGAGUUCUAACUUUCGCCGUGCGGCUGCUUUUGGUCUGAAGUGUCAACUACUAGUUCGCACAUGCAUAAUCAGUCCAGUUUACACCACGGGAAAUCAAUUUCAUGAAGAUGAAAAAACUACUAGGUACUUCUUCCGUUUCAAAAUGUUCGGUUUUUAAACUUUUUAGAUACAUAAAUUUUGCUAUGCACCUAAAUAAUUGAGGUAAAAAUGAUUGUUAAGUAGCAAUGGGUACUUCCACCACGUACUUUUUUAAAAAAAAUUACACUGUUGAUCCAAGUAAUGUAAUUAAAAAAUAAAUUAAAUUAGUACCGGUCCCACUGUUUUUGUACUUGGUCUCCACCUAUUUGGUACUUCUUGUUACUUUUCUCUAGAUACCUCUAGGUACUUUCUACCUUUCCACCGCACGAUUUUUCUGGAUGGACGGCUCUUAUUUUUUCCAAUUAUUGAAAAUAUUUUCAUCAACAAAACCAAAACGACCUACAUUUUGAAAUAAAGGGAGUAACUAAUAGUCUAAUACCUUAGCAUUGACAAGGGCUUGUUCAACGAGAGUGGAACGACAUAGACACAAUCUCCUUGCAUUUAUCGAAAAUUUAGCAUUUUUUCCCUUCUGUUCUGCUGAAGAAUUUGGCCUAAUCCUAUGAACCCAGGCAAGUGCCUACGGAGAGAAUUUGAUGCCAGGUCCGCCAUUGGAUCAAAGUAGGCACGGCAAUGGAAUAAUGGAUAAUAACCGUCAUAUGCAGUGAUAUAAGGCUUAUAAUCCACUAUGCAAAACUAACAAUCAGGGCACCAACUGUGAAGUGUGUAUCUACACACAACGUAUUCCGUGGAUAUGGCUGCUAGGGGGGCGAGCCUUGGGUGCGAAAGAGGGCCAUUUGGAUGGUGCACCUAACGAAUCUUACACACAUCCAAAUCUUCAAAGUGCAUCCACACCAAAUAAUAUAAUCCGUUGCUUGACAGAAGCUUAUUUGAAUCUGAUGAUCAUUGACCAUCAUCACCGGCCUUCCUCGAUGAGGGAGCUCAGGUACGACGAUGUCGAUGCCGACAUGCCGACCACCUCCCUCUUGCUCGAGCUCGCCUGCCACUCGGUGACGUAGCUGGGCUUCGUGACUGCCUCUGGCACUUCGAUGUCUUCUGUGAGCAUGGACACCACCUUUGACAUGGAUGGCCGCUGCCGAGGUGAGCUCUGGAUGCAGAGGAGGCCGACGCGGAUGGCACGGAGAACCUCGUCGCUGACGAAUUCCAUGAGACUCGGGUCCACGACGUCGAGAGGACGGCCUUCCUCGUACAAUUGCCAGACCUGAAAGCGUAGGGCUCAUGCAUGUAGGAGAACUUCACUGUUGUAGGAAUGCAACAAACUAUUUUUUUUCAUAUGAUUCCAAAUUCUAAGAUCCACAUAAUGCUGCCAUUUUAAAAUUUAACACGCUGUGUCAGCUGCUUAGAUGCUAACAAGGUCUUAUAAGUGACACCAUAUGCAUGACUAGCAAUUUCUACGAAAAAUGUAUUUGUCUCAAAUAAAUAGCAUUUUUAUGUUGAAUUUAGUAUAUGAACAACUUUUAAAUUUUUAUGUUGUUAAUCUAAAUAAUUCUUCAUGUAGUGCUGCGCAAAGCUAAAACUGCUGCACAUUUUAGAAGAGGGACACUGGAGCAUAGAUCUUUAGAUCAAUAACUUAUAUUCUGUGUCCGAGGGAGUAACAAAACUUUCCCUCUUCUAAACAAGUGCCUAUCAACAACUAGCAUUCUGUACAUAGCUUAUUUAUUUGACUGCAUCUCUUUUUAUAUAAUUCAAUGAUGUCAAAAUUAUGGUUAAGUUUUUGAAUAAAAAAUCUUAUGAACGCACAUGAGCUUUAAUUUUUAUGUUAUAUAAGUGCCUAUCAUAUAUAUAUAUAUUCCCAGUUACCACAUGAAAAACUGCAAUUUGACCUGGGUCUAAAUUUUGUAGUGACUUUACCCAUUCUAAAAGAUAGGCGCUGUCUUCGUCAAGCCUAUCAUCAUAGUUUGGCCUUCCAGCUAUUGUUUCCAAUAUGACCACGCCAAAAGCAAAUACAUCAACUUUCUCCGUUACAUGACCUCUCAUGGCGUACUCAGGUGCUAGAUAACCACUUGAAAGAAGAGCAGAAAAAUAAUGUUAUUAGCUCACAGAUUAAUCAAACUAAAGUAUAAACUUUCUGCAAUUGUAUAAAGGUGCACUCCAGUGUGCAAGAUAACCUCUCAUUCCCUACUUACUAUAAAUGGGGCAAGAUGCAAAUGCGCUUACAAUGUACCGGCAACUUUUGUGCUGACAUGCGUCUUCUUGUCAUCAUAAAGUUUAGCGAGUCCAAAAUCUGAGAUCUUAGGGUUGAAAUUGGUGUCAAGUAAGAUAUUACUGGCCUUUAUAUCCCUAUGCACAACACGGAUGCUAGACUCUUCGUGCAAAUAAGCUAGACCUCUUGUAAUGCCUAAGCAUAUCCCAAAGCGUGUAAGCCAGUCUAGGUUCUUUCUCCCACUUCCUGCAAAUGAAUGUUUAAGUUAUACGAUGAACUCCUGGAGGGCCGGAGUUAUAUACAGUUGCAUCAAAUUGAAUGAACCUGUACCAAACAAUGCUUUAUCAAGACUUCCAUUCUCUAAGUACUCGUAAACCAGCAGUGGAUUUUCGCCCUCAAGGCAGCAACCAUACAACUUCACGAGAUUCCGAUGUUGCACUUGGGAAAUAGUUUCUAUUUCAGCUAUGAAUUGCUUCUUCCCUUGACGAGAUGUUUCAGAUAGCUGCUUUACUGCUACCAUGCUUCCAUCGGUCAGUUUACCCUGCGAAAAUGUGGCAUUUUUUAAGAAUGUAAGUUUCAGACACCUCAUUAUCACGCAUAUAAUGGACAAAAUAAAGAGACUGCCAAGCUAGCCAUGUGGGGCAACUAUAAAAGGAACUAGUAGAGAGCAACAAAAGGGAAAACCAAUGGGGAAUGUGUGUGUAGAUUGAUAUUACUAAAAGAAUAGGUGAAGCAUUGCCCAGAAGUAGAGGUUUAUUAGUCAAUUUGCAUACAGAAAAAGAGCUCUGGUGUGCACUACUUAUGUACGUGGAAACUUAAUUUCAGAGGCAAAUUAAAAUUCCAUAGCAAAUUUGCAUCCAUGUCACCAUGUGUAGUACAGAUGAACUAACCUUAUAAACUGCCCCGUAUCCUCCUUCACCAAGAAGGUUAGUGGAAUUAAAAUUUUCACUAGCGGUCCUUAGUUCACCAUAACUGUAACUAAAUACAUUUGGUCUUCCAACACAACUGUACAGCUCUGCAAGAAUCACAAGAGUUAAGUUUAUGAGCACAACCUCUUUGUCUGGUUUAAGAAUACACUGUGAACCUGUCAUAUCAUGUACCUCGUUUGUCCAAUGACAAUUUUCUUCUUUUCUGCCUCAACACAUAGAGUCCAGAGAGCACUAAUAGUCCUAAAACUGCUGCACCAACCCCAACCCCAACAGCGACACCUGUAUUGCUAGUACGUUUCGUCUGGGCAGCAUGGGCAGCAUUACGCACUGUAGGUUCGAAAUCUGUCCAAAAGUCCACUUGUUAGAACAAAUGCAAUCUUGGAUUUGGAUCCUAUGUUAAGUGUUUAUGAAUUUUCACUUUUUAAAAGUACUUGAGAAUUCAGCACCGGUUCAGAGUGGAUCUGUAAUUCUGUAUCACUAUUAUACAUGUCAGAGUGUUGGUUCAGUCAUCAGCAUUCUCCUAAUGGGAACUAAGUUGACCCCGCGAAAAUUAUCUAAACAGUAUAGAAACGUUGGUUUAUAGACAACGGGAGUACUUGGAGUUGCACUCAAAGCAGAGAGCGAAGGCCCAUAGUAGCCUUGACUAGGGAUGCAACAAGUGCCCUUGCCGGCCCAGAAAAGAUGAAUCUCAAGGAAGUUUCUGGUGACAGGAACAGUAUACUUCCUCGUGACAGCAGUGUAAGAUUUUCCGGCUGCUGCCUUUCUUAUGUCAAAGUUCUGCUCUUUACGCUCACCCUGUACCAAAAGCAAGAAAAAAAACAUUAGAAAAUCUCAAUCAGCCCAUAAGCUAAAAUCUCAAGUAAGUGUAAGUUAUCAGCAUGACUGGAACCUACCUGAAUAUAGAUAUCGAAAACCCUUUUACCUAAACUCUUCCAAGUCUGCAUGUCUUCGAAGUCAAACUCUGCAAAUUGAAGUGUGACUGUAUAAUUUCCAUUCUCAAGUCCAAUGCCAUAGUAGCGUAAUGAUGAUGGAGACAUCCUUGCUGUCUGGAACAGUUCUGAAUCUAGAGUUUUCAGAAACUGGCGUGAGCUGUUGAUUAUGUAACUAUUAUUUGGUGCCUCCAUGAACCUCCCAACAUUGCUAACACCCCACGUUGGUGCUCCUGUAACAUAAUAGGAAGCAGGUCCCAGAUCGGCGUUGUCAGGCUGAUACAUGGAAUUAUCUGAGACUGACAUAGAUCUCUGGCUCCCACAGUCCACAGCAAAGGAGGAAGCUGCAAGCAUGUUAAAUUAUUUAAUACUGAUGUUAUUUAGCAUAUCCUUAAAGUGCAAAAGUGGAAGCUCACAUUGUGGAGAGCCAAGAAAGCAGGGUGUGUCUCGCUGAAGGCACCCUAGCCCCGAAGGUAAGGCACUGAAGAUGUCAAACAUUGUCAAUUUGAAUCCAAAAUAUGAGCUGAGGCCUGAGAGAACAUAAAAAUUGUGCUUGAAGACUUUAAUGACCUAUUUGAAUACAAACUGACCUGUUAUUGGAGUCGUCGAUUACGAAAUUGUUCGCCACCAAAUUCCUAUGUAGAAUGAAACAUGUAAAAAAGAGUUAGAAGGCACUAUUGCAGAGAAUCAAGAGAAACCAAAGCAGGGACAAAAUUGAUUCAGUUUUUUAAGAUAAGCGAUAAGGUAAAGUACACAUCUGCUUGUUCAAAGAUUCUGAAUCAUAGAUGACGUCAAAUGCAAAAAGAAAAGAAAAAAAGAAAAAAUAAAUAUGGUCUAGGUGCAGCAAAAGCAGCCUUUUAGAUGUAGUUGAUAUUAAAAAAUGCUAGUUUAAUACAUGUGUAUGAUAUUGGAUUAUCUUUAAAAUAAUAGUAAUAGGGCUGAAUUUUCGGUCAGUCAAUCAAGCUUGCAAAACUCAGCACUUACAAUGUCAAAUUCGGACUAACCCAGGAGGGAAAGUUUCCUGAUAGCUGGUUGUAGGAAAAGUCUCUACACAAAACAAAGCGUGUAAAUGUUAUAGAUAAACGCCUUCCUGGUUUUACUUCACAAAUGAAAGUGGACAAACAUACAAGUUUUUAAGAGAAGUUCCUAUAGAACUUGGAAGGCUUCAUGAAAGACUAUUAUUCCCGAGAAACCUGGGCAGACCAAAUUUGCGCAUUAGCAAGAUUGAUGAUCAUUGUCAUCAGAACCUAGAAAUAAGUAUCAGAAGGCAAGAUAAACCAUACAAGAAGCUGAGUGAAUUCAGAUUCAGCAGAGCUUGCGGUACUAGGCCAGUAAUAUUGUUAAAACUCAAAUCCCUGUAACAGUAGAACAAAUGAGACUAGGAGAGAAAGGGGUCAUCAAACAAUGCAUAAUCCACAGCAGUUCAUUAAAGCAUCUAGCAAAACAUGCAGUUGACUGGAGUUUACGAAGAAACAAAAUGUCUUACAGUAGGGUUAAUGUUGCAAACUGUGAAAAGUUUACUGAUGCCAGGUUAUCAGAUAUCCUGCAGUUCCUCAAAACUCUGCAAUGAAACAUGUCAAGAGUUUUCGGAUUUAACAAUUUGGUUGCACUACAGCAAAUAUUAAGAUGUAGUUUUGAGUCAUCAAGUGAAUGACAAGUUAUGCAUACAAGAUGUUCAAAGAUGUCAUGUUACUGAUGAAUGCCAGUGAAGAACUCCCAUUUACUAUGUCACCUAUUCGUCUGAACCACAGAAGUAGAUAAUUAAUUCUUCUGUUCUGCAACCUUAAUACUUGACAAUGAUACUUAUCUACUCCCGCCAUCAGUAGUCACUUACAAGCUUGUCAGUUGGACAAGAUUAGAAAGAGUGGUUGGAAGUGGACCUUGAAAUGAAUUGCCUUGAAACCGUCUGCAAAAUUAUAGUUGUUGUUACUAGUGAAGAAAGAAGGAAGAUCCUGCUAGUACAAGGGUCACUUUCUUGGUAAAAAAAGUAAAUAGGUUUAUGCAGAUAGAAAUAUGAUCUGUUCCAUAAAAAAGAUAAUUAUUAGAAAAAUCAAUUCAAUAUUUUUAACACUAGUAUUUUUUAAUGGAACAGGAGGGGUUAGGACCCCUACUGGUUAUAUAUUCAGGAAAAAGGAGUCUUUUACAGAGCAAAAAGGAGAAAAAGGAAAAUCACAACAGAUUGUCAAGCCAUUCUGUGAUUCUAGGGAAAGACUUCUUUUUUCUCGAUGGAUAACCAUAGCAAAUUCAUACUUGAAAAUGUUUCUGCAACUCUCAACUGAAACUUGCUGUUGUUUGGAGAUUGCAUUGUUCCUUGUUGUCCAGAAUAUGUGGAACAGAACCGCAUUAUCAUGAAUAGUGAAAAAAUGUAAUAUUUACUAAAAUGAUGAAACCACCUCACAUCUGACCUUAUGUGGAUUAUUUUAAUAGGCCACUGAAUGGAGAUUUAGCAGAGUAAAAACUAUACUUAGCUAAUACCAUCUCAUUUAUGAGCACAAUGAGCCAGGGUUCAAAAUGAAUUUCAUACUUGAGAACUGUUGCAAACUGUACACAAUGUCUUUAAAGAAAUUAUCAACACCAUCUGAAAAGUAUAAGUUGUAAAUCUUACAGAUCUAAUAAAUUACUGAGGCUCCCAAUGUAAUCUGGUAUUUGCCCAGUAAAAUCAUUAUCUGAUGCCCACCUAAUCACAAAUAAGAAUAACGCAUAAGGUUAAAUGAAUAAUACUGUUGACAAAACAUCUUUUAUAGGCAUACAAUAUUUUCAUGCUUGUAAGCUUAGAAAAUGAUGGUGGUAGUGGACCACUUAAGCCAGAGCUGUCAAUAUAUCUGCAAGACAGAAAUAAACGAAUAAGAAUGUUAACAUGGUUUGGUAGAAGAAAAGGUAAGGACUACAGGGUGCCCAAAAUUAAUCAAAAUACGCACAGUUGCUCAAGUUUAACCAUGUUACCCAGUUCGGGAGGAAGGGAUCCAUUUAAGUUGUUCAUGCUUAUGCCCCUGAAAUCCCAAAAAAAAUGUCAGGUUAGUAGCAAAAGAUUUGUGACAGGAAACUUUCUUACCUUUCGAAGGAUGAAUACUUUUCCCGACAGAGGUCAACUAGUAGAAGGAAUGAAGGUGUGUUUUUUCUAUAAGCUUGAUGUCGAUAGCAUGUAUUCUCAACUUAAACUGUUCUUUAUUUGUUGAUUCUUACACAUUUAAAUAAAUUUAUAGGUACGUGUACAAAGCCAGGUCGAGAUUUAUAAAACUUUGUAGUUUGGACAUUAGCAAAGAUUUCUACUGAAAUAGGGCCAUGAAACAGAGAAGGUAAAUUACUUACAGGGAUACGAGAUUCACAAGCUUCCCAAGCUCCUUUGGAACAGAUCCAGAUAAUGCAUUAAUUGCAAGAUUCCUUGUAUGUUCAAGGGAGAUAGUUUAAGUUUCAAUGUUACCCAAAACAUGCGAUGUAGUAAUGUUAGGUUCUAAAUCUCACAAGUAUUGCAAAGCAGUCAGUUCCCCAAGGAACGAUGGUAUAGGCCCUGUUAAGUAAUUCCGCAUUAAGUUCCUAAAAAAACGUCAGAUCAGAUCAGAUGUAAACGAAAAAGGAUGGCUCUCAGUAGGUAUUAUAUUUAAAGAAAUUUUGAGCUUGAUGUGGGAGGCUACUACAAAGCAAUCCGCUGCUAUGAUAAUAUGAUAUGCCGUGGAACUGCGGGAAAUGACAAAGUCCACCAAUAAGUUGCGACUAAACAAUCUUAAUAUACACUUGGGAUACUUUGGCUCACUGACGAUUUCAAGAACGUUGAGAAUUCAUACAAAU
rnacentral:lncRNA from 1 species